GGAAUAAUCCCUGAGGGGCUUGACCUCUCAGGUACAUCCCCAACCCUCUUUAAUUAAUUUUUAGCUAGGAUCUCCCUGUUUGUGAAGCCAGAUUUAAAAAGAAUUUAUGUAGCUAGGUUAAUGUGGUCCAACUGGAACCAUAAAGAAAAUGGAGUGUAAUCUGAGCCUGGGAAAACCAGAAAAACAGCUGAGAAAUUGAAAUAUUAAUGUCCCAUGACCCUGGGGAGGUCCUAAAUAAGGGUUAAUGAAGUAGUUCCCAGUAAAACAGGGAGAUGCUAAUCAAACCACCCUAGGCUGUUCCUGCCCAGGUUUCUGCUCCCUGCCCCACCAGUCCACCAGUUUCCCACCCUUUGGCCUUCCAUCUGCAGCCCCCAUCACAUGCACAAUAAAGAGAAAUAAAGGACAGGAAUGUGGGAGGACAAAAGAUGACCUUAGAUGUAAAAGGGAGAAGACCUCCCUUUUCCAGGGAUUUCUCCCUUCCAGUCCCCUUCCUCCUGGGGGGUGGGUAUGAAUCUUUUCUGC
rnacentral:lncRNA from 1 species